CCUACGGGAGGCAGCAGUGGGGAAUAUUGCACAAUGGGGGAAACCCUGAUGCAGCGACGCCGCGUGAGUGAAGAAGGCUUUCGGUAUGUAAAGCUCUAUCAGCAGGGAAGAAAAUGACGGUACCUGAUUCAGAAUCCCCGGCUACCCACGUACCAGCAGCCGCGGUCAUACGUAGGGGGCAAGCGUUAACCGGAUUGACUGGGUGUAAAGGGAGCGUAGACGGGAGAACAAGUCUGGAGUGAAAUGCCGGGGCUUAACCCCGGAACUGCUUUGGAAACUGUGCAGCUAGAGUGCAGGAGAGGUAAGUGGAAUGCCUAGUGUAGCGGUGAAAUGCGUAGAUAUUAGGCGGAACACCAGUGGCGAAGGCGGCUUACCGGACUGUAACUGACGUUGAGGCUCGAAAGCGUGGGGAGCAAACAGGAUUAGAUACCCGAGUAGUC
rnacentral:rRNA from 1 species